rnacentral:rRNA from 1 species
AUGGCGAAAUACUGGUGGAGUAGUGAUAUUGAUAGACGGUCCUUGCACUGGAUAUCGUGGGAUAAACUCUGAGCACCAAAAGUAAAGGGAGGCAUGGGAUUCUGAGACUUUGCUCAAUUCAACCUAGCUUUGCUAGGGAAACAUGGUUGGAGGCUCAUUACACAUCCCAAUUCCUUGUGCUCCAGAGUUUUAAAGGGCAAGUAUUUCCCUAACUGUCAUUUUUUGGAGGCAACAGCACCCAAGUCUUCAUCCACAACAUGGAAGGCCAUAAUUGCCGGUCGUGCUGCAGUUGAAACUGGACUGAUCAAAAGGGUGGGGAAUGGUGAUUCCAUCUCCAUAUGGGAAGAUCGUUGGAUCCCC